UACACUCCUACGGGAGGCAGCAGUGGGGAAUUUUGGACAAUGGGCGAAAGCCUGAUCCAGCAAUGCCGCGUGAGUGAAGAAGGCCUUCGGGUUGUAAAGCUCUUUUGUCAGGGAAGACACGGUGAAAGCUAAUAUCUUUUGCUAAUGACGGUACCUGAAGAAUAAGCACCGGCUAACUACGUGCCAGCAGCCGCGGUAAUACGUAGGGUGCAAGCGUUAAUCGGAAUUACUGGGCGUAAAGCGUGCGCAGGCGGUUUUGUAAGUCUGAUGUGAAAUCCCCGGGCUCAACCUGGGAAUUGCAUUGGAGACUGCAAGGCUAGAAUCUUGCAGAGGGGGGUAGAAUUCCACGUGUAGCAGUGAAAUGCGUAGAUAUGUGGAGGAACACCGAUGGCGAAGGCAGCCCCCUGGGUCAAGAUUGACGCUCAUGCACGAAAGCGUGGGGAGCAAACAGGAUUAGAAACCCCUGUAGUCCCA
rnacentral:rRNA from 1 species